rnacentral:rRNA from 1 species
CGGCGCCUACGGGACGCAGCAGUGGGGAAUAUUGGUCAAUGGACGAAAGUCUGAACCAGCCAUGCCGCGUGCAGGAAGACGGCUCUAUGAGUUGUAAACUGCUUUUGUACAAGGGUAAACCUGAAUACGUGUAUUCAGCUGAAAGUACUGUACGAAUAAGGAUCGGCUAACUCCGUGCCAGCAGCCGCGGUAAUACGGAGGAUCCAAGCGUUAUCCGGAUUUAUUGGGUUUAAAGGGUGCGUAGGCGGAUUGAUAAGUUAGAGGUGAAAUGUCCGGGCUCAACUCGGGAACUGCCUCUAAUACUG